rnacentral:rRNA from 1 species
AUUGAACGCUGGCUGCAGGCCUAACACAUGCAAGUCGAGCGGAUGAAGGGAGCUUGCUCCUGGAUUCAGCGGCGGACGGGUGAGUAAUGCCUAGGAAUCUGCCUGGUAGUGGGGGAUAACGUCCGGAAACGGGCGCUAAUACCGCAUACGUCCUGAGGGAGAAAGAGGGGGAUCUUCGGACCUCACGCUAUCAGAUGAGCCUAGGUCGGAUUAGCUAGUUGGUGGGGUAAAGGCCUACCAAGGCGACGAUCCGUAACUGGUCUGAGAGGAUGAUCAGUCACACUGGAACUGAGACACGGUCCAGACUCCUACGGGAGGCAGCAGUGGGGAAUAUUGGACAAUGGGCGAAAGCCUGAUCCAGCCAUGCCGCGUGUGUGAAGAAGGUCUUCGGAUUGUAAAGCACUUUAAGUUGGGAGGAAGGGCAGUAAGUUAAUACCUUGCUGUUUUGACGUUACCAACAGAAUAAGCACCGGCUAACUUCGUG